AAUUCGAUGCAACGCGAAAACCUUACCACCUUUGACAUGUACGGAAUCCUUUAGAGAUAGAGGAGUGCUCGAAAGAGAGCCGUAACACAGGUGCUGCAUGGCUGUCGUCAGCUCGUGUCGUGAGAUGUUGGGUUAAGUCCCGCAACGAGCGCAACCCUUGUCCUUAGUUACCAGCACGUAAUGGUGGGCACUCUAAGGAGACUGCCGGUGACAAACCGGAGGAAGGUGGGGAUGACGUCAAGUCACCAUGGCCCUUACGGCCAGGGCUACACACGUGCUACAAUGGUCGGUACAAAGGGUUGCCAAGCCGCGAGGUGGAGCUAAUCCCAUAAAACCGAUCGUAGUCCGGAUCGCAGUCUGCAACUCGACUGCGUGAAGUCGGAAUCGCUAGUAAUCGUGAAUCAGAAUGUCACGGUGAAUACGUUCCCGGGCCUU
rnacentral:rRNA from 1 species